rnacentral:rRNA from 1 species
GCAAGUCGAGCGAUUACUUCGGUAAAGAGCGGCGGACGGGUGAGUAACGCGUGGGUAGCCUGCCUCAUACACGAUGGAUAACCAUACCGAAAGGGUAUGCUAAGUACAGGAUAAUAUAAGAGAUUCACAUGGAUUUCUUAUCAAAGCUCCGGCGGUAUGAGAUGGACCCGCGUCUGAUUAGCUAGUUGGUAAGGUAAUGGCUUACCAAGGCGACGAUCAGUAGCCGACCUGAGGGGGUGAUCGGCCACAUUGGAACUGAGACACGGUCCAAACUCCUACGGGAGGCAGCAGUGGGGAAUAUUGCACAAUGGGCGAAAGCCUGAUGCCAGCAACGCCGCGUGAGUGAUGAAGGCCUUCGGGUCGUAAAACUCUGUCCUCAAGGAAGAUAAUGACGGUACUUGAGGAGGAAGCCCCGGCUAACUACGUGCCAGCCGCAGC